rnacentral:lncRNA from 1 species
AAGAAUUACAAUAGCAUAUUUAUUAUUCCAUCCUUCAAAAUUGAAAUCCUUCUUCAAAGAGAAGCUAAAAGUAGUAGCUAAAACUGCUAUUUGUGUAAUUGUAUGUAUAUCUUAAUUAGUUGUGUUCUCUCUUCUACAGGUUAAACUGCAUCAGUAUUACAGAUGAAGGUUGUGCUGCUCUGGCAUCAGCGUUUAAUUCAAACCUCAGAGAGCUGGAUCUGAGCAGGAAUCAAAAGCAUCAGCGUUUAAUUCAAACCUCAGAGAGCUGGAUCUGAGCAGGAAUCAAAUAGGAGACUCUGGAGUGACAGAAAUCUCCAGUCUGCUGAGAAAUUCACAGACACUACAGAUACUCAGACUUUCAGACUGCAGUAUCAUAAAGAAGGUUAUAAUACAGUUGCAAUCAAAAUUAUUCAACCCCCUUGACCUGCAAGACAUUUUGCUGCGGAGGACAAAAUUUUAUGAAAACAAUUUAACAAAGCCAUCAGUAAAGUAUUAGAGAAAGUUUGUUAAUACACUUUUGAGUGAUUCUGAGAAUGUAACAUUGAUGAAUCAUGAUGAAAUUAAAAUUGGCUCUAAACAUUCAUGUUCAAAUUUAUUCAAAAAUUCAAAUUUUGUGCAGAAUCUUUUAUUCUUUAUAAACUAAAACCUAUAAACAUGGCCUGUAAGUGUUUAGAAGCUUCUGUCACCUCUCUACUACAGUCUUGGCCCGUUCCUCAACUGUAAUAGCUUCCAGAUCACUGAUAAUCUUUGGUUUUCACAUUGCCACUGCUUUCUUUAAAUUCAAACUGAUAUUUUCAAUGAGAAUUAAAUCUGGAGACUGAACAGGCCACUCAAGAACAUUCUAUGACUGAUCCCUGAACCAAGCAGAAGUAGAUUUGGAUGUGUACUUUGGGAUGACUGUCCUGCAGGAAAGUCCAUUGAUCAUCAGCUUCAGUCUUUGGACCAAAGGCAUCACAGUUCUUGUCAAAAUGGCCUGAUACUUCAAAGAAUCCAUGAUGUCCUUCAUACAGUCAUGGUUUCCACUUUCUGAUAACAUAAAGCAACCCCAUAACAGCACAGAUCC